GACGAACGCUUGCGACGUGCCUAAGAAAUGCAAGUCGAGCGAGGCAGCAAUGCCUAGCGGCGAACGGUCGCGUAACACGUAAGCAACCUGCCCCAAAGACCGGGACAACGUUCCGAAAGGAGCGCUAAUACCGGAUGCGCCCAUCUGUUGACAUCGGCGGAUGAGUAAAUCGAGCAAUCGGCUUUGGGAGGGGCUUGCGGCCUAUCAGCUAGAUGGCGGGGUAACGGCUCACCAUGGCGACGACGGGUAGCUGGUCUGAGAGGAUGGUCAGCCGGAUUGGGACUGAGAUACGGCCCAGACUCCUACGGGGGGCGAGCAAUUAGGAAUCUUGCGCAAUGGGCGAAAGACCUGACGCAGCGACGUC
rnacentral:rRNA from 1 species